UCAACGGGUAGCCGGCCUGAGAGGGUGACCGGCCACACUGGGACUGAGACACGGCCCAAACUCCUACGGGAGGCAGCAGUGGGGAAUAUUGCACAAUGGGCGAAAGCCUGAUGCACCAACGCCGCGUGAGGGACGACGGCCUUCGGGUUGUAAACCUCUUUUACCAGGAAAGAAGCGAAAGUGACGGUACCUGCAGAAAAAGCGCCGGCUAACUACGUGCCAGCAGCCGCGGUAAUACGUAGGGCGCAAGCGUUAUCCGGAAUUAUUGGGCGUAAAGAGCUCGUAGGCGGUCUGUCGCGUCUGCUGUGAAAACCCGAGGCUCACCCUCGGGCCUGCAGUGAGUACGGGCAGACUAGAGUGCG
rnacentral:rRNA from 1 species